GUUGCGUCCUCGGUGUUGAAGGAGUCCGUAAGGGCAACUAAGUGCAUUCACUAGAAGGAACAAUUGUCCAUACUGAGGAGGCAGGAUGAGAAAGGGGCCAGGAUAAGGGUCAACACCCCAGACCUAGCAUUCACCUGGACUGUAAACUUUCAUAAGGUUGUGACGGUUGGCUGCUCAUUCAUGUCUCCAGCAUCUUGAGUAAAGCUCUGGUUUCUGCUCAGAAUAAUGACACAGGAAUGAGGUUUAUCAGAUUUCCAAGAACACUCUUCAUGUAAAAAUACUGUAUCAUCCAGCCCCAUAUUUACAUUCACUUUCAAGACUCAGCUAAAAUGUGACACGUUUCUGAGUCCUUGGCAGGGAUAGCUGUACCUCCUUUGUGUUGAUAUGGGAAGAUGUAGAUCCACUUGAAGAUCAUGAGCCAGAAGGAAAUGAAGUCUAGUGAAUUCUGAGAGAACAGAACAAUUGAUAACCAUCAUGAAGUGGUAUUAAAAGGAGGAAAAAAGUCACCUCAUAUCGAAACUGAAGCAGAUGACAUUCCUGGUGAUUCCUGUAUGAAGCAGUCAGACAAGCUGUUCACUUUCAUGGAGGUGGCUCACCCGAGAC
ensembl:lncRNA